UUCAAUCCGUGCGGCUGUUACUUCUCUUCUUCUCAUUCUUCAUUUUAUUUCAUUUCUUUCCUUUAUUUUUCAUUGUGUUGUAGUCUGCUGCAUUCCUUCUUCCUCUCCAUUUUAUUUUCGGUUCUUCUCCUCUGCAAGUCAGCGAACGCCGCCACUCAUUCCUCCAUUUUCAGCUGGUCUGUUCGUGAGCCUCCAUUGUUGUUCUUUCUCUUAGUUUUUUCUUACUAAUUUCGUGGCUUAUGCUUGUGAUUUAUCCUCAUUACAUUUCCUUUUGUUUGGUCUUUUAUUGCCCUAUUUGUCGUGCCCUGUUUUGCGAUCACUUGCAAUCGCUUCUCUCCCUCUCCGACUCCACUCCACCACCGUAUCCUCCCCCCUCCCUCAAACAAUAGCACUGCGGCCAGAAGUUGCCGCCGCGGUAUCGACGACAUCUACCCACAAUGAAUUGAAGAGAGAACUUGGGAGGGAGGGAGAGUCGACAAUGAGAGAGAGGAUUUGUGUUCUAAAAGUGGAGAAUAAGGAAAAAAAAGGAAAUGAAUAAUUGAAAAAUAAACGGAAUGGACGGAAAAAUAAGAAAAAUAGCCACUUAUAUAAUAGAGAUAAAUAUAUGGCAUCAAUUAGUUUGCACGUCGAAUACAAGCUCAGAAGCUAGUAGAACAAAAGGCAACCACGUACCCAAGGUUUGUGGUUACAAAGAUAAUGGUCUAUGAUCUCAACACGACACAGACACUAUUUCUCAGUACACGGCAUAGAAAACUAUUAUAUAUGAUCAUCAGGCUGACAGAAGAGAGAGAGCAGAAAUUAAGCAUUUUUAAUAUUUUAUCUGAUCUGGAGAUGCUUGUAGCUGGAAUUCCCAGCUGGAACUGCGACCUGAAUCCUUCCUCUUUGAUGAUCAUCAGUUUGCCUAAUAAUCUGACUUGUCUCCUUUGACUGUUGACCAACCCCUUUGCGGCUCGAGCCAGCUUCUCCACCAGAUUGAUCUGCUGAGACCUUCCGGCGCCGCUCAUUAUGUCCGGCCAAGCGUCUGCGGCAACUUCUUUUUGCUUCAUCAAACUCCGAUACCUCAUGGAACCUGCACAUAAUUUCCAAUUAUAUAUGUGGAGUUCGAUCUUAUAAUAAUUAUGCGCAUUAAUCCCCGCUUAAUUGCCCGAUCCCAAACAAAUUAAGAGGGGAUUAACCUCUUUCAUUAAUGCAUUUAAUUGUCAACUAUUUUUAAUACAUUUGUCUAGCAUGCAACAUCCUA